rnacentral:tRNA from 1 species
GGAUAGCUCAGUCAGUAGAGCAUGAGACCUUUAAUCUCCGGGUCAAGGGUUCAAGCCCCACGUUGGGCA